rnacentral:rRNA from 1 species
UGGGGAAUAUUGGACAAUGGGCGCAAGCCUGAUCCAGCCAUGCCGCGUGAGUGACGAAGGUCUUCGGAUUGUAAAACUCUUUUGGCGGGACGAUAAUGACGGUACCCGCAGAAUAAGCCCCGGCUAACUUCGUGCCAGCAGCCGCGGUAAUACGAAGGGGGCUAGCGUUGUUCGGAAUCACUGGGCGUAAAGCGCACGUAGGCGGAUGUGCCAGUCAGGCGUGAAAGCCCCGGGCUCAACCCGGGAAUAGCGCUUGAUACUAGCGGGCUAGAGUCCGGGAGAGGGUAGUGGAAUUCCCAGUGUAGAGGUGAAAUUCGUAGAUAUUGGGAAGAACACCAGUGGCGAAGGCGGCUACCUGGACCGGUACUGACGCUGAGGUGCGAAAGCGUGGGGAGCAAACAGGAUUAGAUACCCCAGUAGUCCCUGAGCGGGCUGGCAAGGCGCAU